rnacentral:lncRNA from 1 species
GGACUACAGGCACCUGCCACCACACCCGGCUAAUUUUUGUAUUUUCAGUAGAGACGGGAUUUCACCAUGUUGGCCAGGCUGGUCUUGAACUCCUGACCUCAGGUGAUCCACCCGCCUUGGCCUCCCAAAGUGCUGGAAUUACAGGCAUGAGCCACUGUGCCCAGCCUCUCCCAUGGUUUUUAUUCCCCCUUUUGAUUGAGUGGCCACCACACGAUGCUCCAGGAUUCUGCAUUCCCCCUUUAAUUUAAUGCCUCCCCAGUCCCUACUAGCCAGGAUUAGCACCGAUUUUAGAGAGCAGAAGACACUGUCUCAGACAGCGGCCAUGCCUUGCCUAACAUCACACAGCUGGCCAGUGGCGGAAUCUAGAAUGAGGCUCUGCCCUCUUUCCCACCCUUAAUCCUGCCGCUGGGCACAGCACUUCUGAGUUAUCUUUACUGAGCACUUAUGAUGUGCCCGACACUGGGCUAACUCUUUUCCAGGCUUAAGUCCCAGAUCAGCUAUGUCAGGCAGAUGAUCAUGGUCACCAUUUUGCAAAUGAGGAAAUGCAGGCCCAGAGAGGCAAUGCCACCAUUCCAGAGUCACACAGCUAGAAAGCAGCAGGGUUAGGACCCAAAUUGAGGUCUGGCUGGUUACCCAAAGCCCCUGCAAGAUAAAUAUACCCAGACUUAGCCACGUUUUGGAAUCCUCCCAUCAUUUGUCUUCUACAUGAUCUGUCUCCACCUACCCCACAGUGUCAUAGCACUUCCUCUUUCACUCCCAAAGUGCUAACUUCGACCCCAUUCAGUGCUUAAAGGAAGGACCUUCACCAGGGCUGGGCACUGUGCCAGGGACAGCAGCUCCCCAUUUGCUUGGGGCCAUCAAUGCACAGAAAAUUUGCAAGAACUGUACCUGCUUUGUGGAAAGUAAUUGUCAGUGUGCGUGUUGGCCUCUGCCCCUGCUGGUGGGGUCUAAGGAUGGACACAUGUGGGGGUGCUCUGUGGGGCCCAGAGCCCCACACAGGACAGGACCCAGCCAGGCCCCAGGCUGGCUGCUGAGGACACACAGAUGGCAGAAUCAUGAUCCCCAACCUUAAGGAGCCCCAGUCCAGCGGAGGAGAAAGGGCUAACCCACAACCCUUCAACCAACCAGACCCUGUGCCAGCUCUGGGGGAACGAAGGUGAACGAAGACAAGGUGCCCAGACUUCAAAGGACCCAGGGGAGGACCCUGACCCGGUGAAAACUCCUUUAAAUUUUCUCUGGGAGUGUUGGAUGAAGCAUUCAGGGAACAUUCCAUGGGACAGGAGGAAGAAGACUCCAGCCUGCAGUGGGGCAAGGCCCCCUCCAUCUGUCAGUCCAUAGGAAGUGGCUCUCCAUAUUCUAAAGGCAGGACUUGAGAGGGGUCUAUUAGUGUCCAGAUGUGGAAUCCGGGACUUAGGGAAAUACUUGAGCGCUGAAAGAAUAAACUGUGU